rnacentral:misc_RNA from 1 species
UAAGGCUGGUACAACAUGUGGACCACAUGUAAUGGUACAAAUGAUACACCAAACAUGGCGUAUAAGGCGAAAGAAACAAAUUUGCAACCCUCACUAUCAGAUGAAAGUUUGAAUUCACCUUUCCAGCAAAAACCGGAAUCUCAUGCUUUUCCAGAAAAUCAACCAACUUGCUCGACUACACCAAAUGAUCAGAGUCCAAGAGAACAAACAACAUGCCUGAUUACUCCAAAUAUUCGCAUUAAGCAUCUUUUUGUUUACAACUUCCCAUCUGAAAUAAGAGAAUCUUCACCAUUUGACACAAUUGUCAAAUUCCCAUCUAAACUUCAGUCACCAGCAGCCAGUAGUGGUCCUAUUUGUCGUAUAUGCCACGAGGGUGACGAUAAAGAAGAUUUGGUGUCGCCUUGUAGAUGCACUGGAACAGUUGGACUCGUCCAUAAGAAAUGCAUGGAAAGAUGGUUAAGCAGCAAAUGUAACAACACUGUCGAUAAAUGUGAAAUUUGCAAUUAUCCAUUUGUUACCAUUCGCAAGCCAAAAUCAUUUUAUGAAUUUAUUCAAACUGAAAGGCAUUCAAAUGCAGUUAAUCGGAGCAGUUUUAUGGGUGACUUGACAUGCUUUUUCCUUCUUACGCCAUUGGCCUUUGUCAGCGGUAUGCUUUGUGUUGAAGGAGCUAUGAAACAAGUACUUAUGGGAAACAGCCUAGAGGCUGGUUGCCUGAUGGGAUUAGCAACCUUUCUGAUUACUUCCUAUAUUAUAUGGCUUGUUUUAACUGUUAGGUACCACAUACGAUGUUACUUAAAAUGGCGGACGAAGAACCAUAACGUCAAGUUGAUGAAAAUUACGAGGAUUUCAACUGCAAGUGAUGGUCUAAAUCACUCGUGUAUUCAAAUUGUCACUCAAGAGCCAAAUAACCAACCAAAUUUUGUCUUCAACCCAAAUGUAGUCGUUUCGAUUCCAGAGGCAAGCUGAGGUAAUAAAUCAUUCAAGUGCUUUUUGAAGUAAUAUUUAGAAAGGAAUACUUAAUUUUUAUGCUAUCACGGGAAAAAAAACCGUUGCAUCUCUCCGUGUAAAAACACAUUAUUUAACCCUUUCGAAGGCAGUGGUUUAAAUGAAUAAGCCCACAGGACUCUUAAGGAAAAUGAAUGAAUGCUUUUAGCACUAUGAAAAAGCACUAUAAUGGAGGAUGUGCUCAUUGUUUUAUUAUAUUUGUUUGCUUCAUUGCAGUUAAAACAUUUUAAAAAUGUUUUAACUUAGUAAAGUUUUAAAUUUUAAGAAUCCUUUAACCGUAGAUGCUUUUCUUUAUUAUUAUUAUUGCUUAUAGCACUACUAAUGCUCAUAGCACUAAUGAGAAGCAUUUUAAAGAAGCACUAUUGUGGAAAAAGUGCAAAUUGUUUUAUAUUUGUGUUGCUUUAUUUCGAUUUGAGAACUUAAAACUUGUAAAAUUUUAAAAUUCUUAACUUUCCUUUAUGGUUGUUUAAACUUUUAAUUAUUGAACUUUUUUUAAGUUAAUAAAAUUUUAUGAAGUUUCGCAUCUUUUAUAUUUAUCUGCAACUCGUUUUAAUAAUGGGCAGUCAAUAAAAUGGUUUCCUUUAUCUAAUAACCUUAUACGUCUAAAAUAUUUCCUAUUUUAUCAUGGUAAAGACAAUGAUUUCAAUAUUGUUCAAAUUAUGAUAAUCUUAAUCGGUAUCUAGAGAAUUUAUUAUGUUACUCAACAACAAAUUUUGAAAUUUGUUACUAAACUCAUCAACAGAAGCUUACUAUAAACCACUUUAACAGUUUUCUGCAGCCUGUUUCAUUCCAAUGAAAAUAUUUGCCCACGCAUCUGUUAAAAUUUCUUUACGGUGUAGUUCCCAGUGGAUCACAAAAAUCAAGCAUCGCUGCGGUCAGUGGGCAAGUUGAUGACCAAUUUGAUCAUCCUGCAAAAAGAUCGCUCAUACAGAUCGUUGUACUCUCAUAGCAAAAGAGCCAUCCCCUCUGCAGAGGACCAAACAUGGCAUGUUUUCGGAUCAUCCUCUGAGGAUGCUUCACAGAUAGAUACCAAUAGCCCAUUGUGCAGCUCUAGAGCAACGGAAAUAAAGUACUAUUACUUUAAGGUACAAAUUACAACACGUCGCUUCUGCAAAUGGAGUUUAAUUUCAAAAUAAUGUUUCAUAGUUAUUCAGUUAGAAGCACCAUCUAAUGACAAACAUUUUAUGAAAUUUAGUGGCAAGAUAUCUGGUUUUCGAAGAAACCGUACACUUUUUAUCUCAUCAUCAAUGGCUCGACAGCCCAGGGUGGGCCUUGGCCUUCUCAAGAAGUUUUUUCCAGGUUAAUCUUUUUCCUGCUAGCAUUUUCCAGUUUUCAAGACCAAAAGAUCUUUUUCUAUCCAACUAAAAUUCGGCACGCCUCUUUUUUCCUGCGCUAACUGUUCUGGCCAAUGACAGACCCUUUGGCGUAUCACAAAAACUCUUUGUGGUACGGUCUUCCUCUAUUCUGAUAACGUGGCCUGCUCAUUUUGUUGUUUGUCGUUUAAUGAAGUUAAUAAUGUCAGGUUCAUUGUAUGAGUGAUAAAUCUCUAAAUUAGUUCUUCUAAGUCACACACCAUUUUUUUUUUUUUAAUUCCUUCAAAAAUACUUCUCAAGACCUUUCUCUCAAAAGUACCCAACAUAACCUCAUCCGUACAAGAUAUGGUCCAGGUUUCACAAGCAUAUGUUAAAAUUGGUCUUAAAAUAGAUUUAUGUAAUAUAACUUUUGUUUUUCUAUGAAUUACAUUAGAUUUUAUGUAUUUUCUAAUUCCAUUAAAACAUCUAUUGGC